rnacentral:lncRNA from 1 species
GGGUUGUCUACAAAGGACUUAUACUUCCGGAUUGCAAAUCCCAAAGAAAUGUCAUCAAAUAUAUUUGUUGAUAUUAGAGCAAUCUAAAAAUUACAACUGAGCUCAGAUUAAGUAAAUAUAUACGCAUAAGCUUUUAUUGGAGUAAGUAGUGCUGUACAUGCAUAAAACACUUCCGAGGAUUGUGAUUUUUCCUAAAUGGCAUGAGUUGGAAGUUGUUUUUCAUUCAACAGCUACAGCUGUGACUCCAGCUGUCCCUCCUAGAUGUUAAGUUAUUUGUCUCAGGAAGCCUCUUAUCCAAAGGACUGACCUUUCAAAAGGUUUUGCAGUCACCUCUAUUUUGUGCUUCCUUAUGUAUGUGCUGAUGAGCUGGGGAUGGUGGCCAGGUGAUAAAUUGCUAGCAGGUGAUAAAUUGCUAGACAACCUGCUCAUUAGUUAAACGUCUGGUAAGGAAGAUCUUGGUGUGGGCUGUGAGUACUUACCCCUGCAGGAUAUAAUUUAAAAGAGUUCUGUUUAAACAAAAACAAAACCAACUACAAACAAAGCCACAACAAAAACAAAAGACAGUCUAAGCCCUCAACCUGCUUGCAUAAUAUCUGAGUAAUGAAGAAGAGAUCACCGAGGGUUUCUCUCUCUAAGACAAGCGAAAUUCCAAACGUAAGGAUUAUGCCCCAGGAUUUUGGAGAGAAGAGGCAAGGAGAUGGUUUUAUGAAAUCCUCCAGCAGUAUUUCACAUCCAUCAUUCCUAAAUGAUGGUGGAGAAUCUGUUGGUGGUCUGGGAUACCAUGGCCAUGCUGAUUCCUAUGAUUUAGCCCUGAAGGAAAGCCAGUGGUGUGCUGCAGAUCCCCUCCCACUCCCCAGGCUGUGCCAUGGUGCCCCAGCCUUUCCUAGCCCUGGGAUGUGCUGGGCAAAAUGCAUCCUUUGCUGCAUGGCAGGUUGCGUGGCCUCUGGCUGUGCUUCUGAGCGAUGGUUCACAAGGAGGGGUGAAGACUGGGGGGAAACAAGGCACAUGUAGAGCUAUUAUGCACCUAUAUCCAGUAACUGGUCUGAAUUUUUCACACUGGUGUGUUGUUAGGAACUGGGGUGACUAAAAUGAAUAAUAUCUUUAGUGGUCAUUAAAGUACAGCAGAAAUCUCCUAAGGGACAGAUGAAGAUCAUCUGGCCUCUGCUGCCUAAUAACCCUUUUCCUGGAGAGUGUCAAACUGAAUUUGUAGUUGUGUCUCUUUGUUUAGACAUUAGCUUUCAAUUUAUUACUUAAGGGACUCAGCCCCAAAUUGGAGAUAGGUCACUAUUUGCCCUUUUUUAAUGGUAAACUGUGCUGUGCACACAAACAUGUCAGAAACAGCUGAGGGUAAGUUGCUUUCUAGUCCUCCAGCAGCCCAUCAUUUUAUGUUGGUGUCAUUUGAUUAACAUGAGGCAUCACUGAUCACAGCAAUUAUACAAAAAUGCCACUAUUUCUUAAAAACUCAGCAGGUUGUUACUGCUGUGCUAUGGAUGUGUAUGUAGGAUGGAGAAAUCCCAGCUCUGGAGCCAUGUCUCCCAGUGCUUGGAGCAGAAGGGAUCUGGCCUCCUAGACAGACAGGCUUCCUUCACAAAAGUCUGGACAGGGUUCCUUAGGGAAUCAAGUCAAAAUCCAGCUCAGGGUUAGGCACAGGUGAAAAAAACGUGCUCUGGAGAGACAGCAAUGUUAUUUGCGAGUCCUAGUAGGCUUUCUAAGUACUUGGGAUAUCAACAGACAAUAUUAUAAACCUAUCCAGUAGUUUCUUCCCUUUACAGGAUCUGCAUUUCAUUAAUUUUUGUUAAAUGUAUAAUAUUCUAAACAUCUAAUUGAUGAUAUUCUUGGUUUAUGAUCUAUGUAGAUUAGCAUCCUCCAGUUAGUUCUUUGCAUUUUUCUCCAUCACUUGGUGAAAUGGAGCUGCACAUACGUGUUAGGAGAAAGCCAUGUAGGAAUAAAAGCAUCCAAGCAUCUAAAUGUGCUGCUGUU